rnacentral:rRNA from 1 species
CAGCAGCCACGGUAAUACGUAGGUGGCAAGCGUUGUCCGGAAUUAUUGGGCGUAAAGGGCUCGCAGGCGGUUUCUUAAGUCUGAUGUGAAAGCCCCCGGCUCAACCGGGGAGGGCCAUUGGAAACUGGGAGACUUGAGUGCAGAAGAGGAGAGUGGAAUUCCACGUGUAGCGGUGAAAUGCGUAGAGAUGUGGAGGAACACCAGUGGCGAAGGCGACUCUCUGGUCUGUAACUGACGCUGAGGAGCGAAAGCGUGGGGAGCGAACAGGAUUAGAUACCCCUGUAGUCCCUGUCUCUUAUAU